GACGAACGCUGGCGGCGUGCUUAACACAUGCAAGUCGAACGGAAAGGCCCUGCUUUUGUGGGGUGCUCGAGUGGCGAACGGGUGAGUAACACGUGAGUAACCUGCCCUUGACUUUGGGAUAACUUCAGGAAACUGGGGCUAAUACCGGAUAGGAGCUCCUGCUGCAUGGUGGGGGUUGGAAAGUUUCGGCGGUUGGGGAUGGACUCGCGGCUUAUCAGCUUGUUGGUGGGGUAGUGGCUUACCAAGGCUUUGACGGGUAGCCGGCCUGAGAGGGUGACCGGCCACAUGGGGACUGGGAGACGGCCCGGACGCCAACGGGAGGAAGCAGUGGGAAAUAUUGCACAAGGGGCGGAAGCCGGAUGCAGCAACGCCGGGUGGGGAAUGACGGCCUUCGGGUGGUAAACCGCUUUCGCCUGUGAGGAAGCGUGAGUAACGGUAAUGGGUAAAGAAGCACCGGCUAACUAGGU
rnacentral:rRNA from 1 species